UACGUAGGGUCCGAGCGUUGUCCGGAAUUACUGGGCGUAAAGAGCUCGUAGGCGGCUUGUUGCGUCGACUGUGAAAACCCGCAGCUUAACUGUGGGCUUGCGGUCGAUACGGGCAUCACUGGAGUUCGGCAGGGGAGACUGGAAUUCCUGGUGUAGCGGUGAAAUGCGCAGAUAUCAGGAGGAACACCGGUGGCGAAGGCGGGUCUC
rnacentral:rRNA from 1 species